rnacentral:rRNA from 1 species
GGAAUUAUUGGGCGUAAAGAGCUCGUAGGCGGUUUGUCACGUCUGCUGUGAAAACGCGAGGCUCAACCUCGCGCCUGCAGUGGGUACGGGCAGACUAGAGUGCGGUAGGGGAGAUUGGAAUUCCUGGUGUAGCGGUGGAAUGCGCAGAUAUCAGGAGGAACACCGAUGGCGAAGGCAGAUCUCUGGGCCGUAACUGACGCUGAGGAGCGAAAGGGUGGGGAGCAAACAGGCUUAGAUACCCUGGUAGUCCACCCCGUAAACGUUGGGAACUAGUUGUGGGGUCCAUUCCACGGAUUCCGUGACGCAGCUAACGCAUUAAGUUCCCCGCCUGGGGAGUACGGCCGCAAGGCUAAAACUCAAAGGAAUUGACGGGGACCCGCACAAGCGGCGGAGCAUGCGGAUUAAUUCGAUGCAACGCGAAGAACCUUACCAAGGCUUGACAUAUACGAGAACACUGCAGAAAUGCAGGACUCUUUGGACACUCGUAAACAGGUGGUGCAUGGUUGUCGUCAGCUCGUGUCGUGAGAUGUUGGGUUAAGUCCCGCAACGAGCGCAACCCUCGUUCUAUGUUGCCAGCACGUAAUGGUGGGAACUCAUGGGAUACUGCCGGGGUCAACUCGGAGGAAGGUGGGGAUGACGUCAAAUCAUCAUGCCCCUUAUGUCUUGGGCUUCACGCAUGCUACAAUGGCCGGUACAAAGGGCUGCAAUACCGCAAGGUGGAGCGAAUCCCAAAAAGCCGGUCCCAGUUCGGAUUGAGGUCUGCAACUCGACCUCAUGAAGUCGGAGUCGCUAGUAAUCGCAGAUCAGCAACGCUGC